rfam:Oryza sativa Japonica Group cDNA clone:J023046D01, full insert sequence.
GCAGCCGGAUGAUGAGGUCAAGGUGAACGUGACGGUGCGCCGGUCGACGGCGCUGCUAGGCGGCACCGGUGCAGUAGUGCAAGAAGGUGGGCCUCAGGAGGUCGACGGGGUGAUGUGGUUUCGACCGGCGGCG